CCCUCGGGAAACUGAGGUUAAUAUCUGAUAGGAGAUUUAUACUGGAAAGAUUAAUCUUUAAAAUUCGAGCCUAAGGAUGGGGCUGCGGUGGAUUAGGUUGUUGGCGGGGUAAUAGCCCACCAAGCCUUUGAUCCAUAGGGGCUCUUAGCGGAGAAGCCCCGAGAGGGAAUCUGAGACACUAUUCCCAGCCCUACGGGGUGCAGCAGUUAGGAAUAUUCUGCAAUGCGCGUAAGCGUGACAGAUUGAGUCAGAGUGCGCUUCAAUUUGGAGUGCUUUUGCUAAAUGUAAAAAGUUUGGCGAAUAAGGACUGGGUAAGACGAGUGCCAGCCGCCGCGGUAAUACUCGCGGUCCAAGUCGCAGCCAUUUUUAUUGGGUCUAAAACAUCCGUAGCUUGCUUGGUGAGUUCCUUGUGAAAUUCUAUAUCUCAAAUAUGGAGCGUGCAGGGAGUACUGCCAAGCUAGAGACUGGAAGACGUAACGAGUACGUUUGGAGUAGCGGUAAAAUGUGUUAAUCCCGGACGGACUAACAAUAGCGAAGGCACGUUACGAGGACAGUUCUGACAGUAAGGGAUGAAGGCUAGGGGCGCAAAACGGAUUAGAUACCCGUGUAGUCCUAGCAGUAAACACUGCACACUAAACAUUAGUACCUCCUCGAGAGGUAUUGGUGCUGAAGGGAAGCCGAAGAGUGUGCUACCUGGGAAGUAUAGUCGCAAGGCCGAAACUUAAAGGAA
rnacentral:rRNA from 1 species